rnacentral:rRNA from 1 species
GACGAACGCUGUCGGCGCGCCUAACACAUGCAAGUCGAACGGAGUUGCUGAAGCUGAAUUUUUCGGAAGGACGCAUUAGUAACUUAGUGGCGGACGGGUGAGUAACGCGUGAGUAACCUGCCUUUCAGAGGGGGAUAACGUUUGGAAACGAACGCUAAUACCGCAUAACAUAACGAGGUCGCAUGGCUUUGUUAUCAAAGGAGCAAUCCGCUGGAAGAUGGACUCGCGUCCAAUUAGCUAGUUGGUGAGGUAACGGCUCACCAAGGCCAUGAUGCAUGGCCGACCUGAGAGGGUGAUCGGCCACACUGGGACUGAGACACGGCCCAGACUCCUACGGGAGGCAGCAGUAGGGAAUCUUCGGCAAUGGACGAAAGUCUGACCGAGCAACGCCGCGUGAGUGAAGAAGGUUUUCGGAUCGUAAAACUCUGUUGUUAGAGAAGAACAAGUAGGAGAGUAACUGCUCUUACCUUGACGGUAUCUAACCAGAAAGCCACGGCUAACUACGUGCCAGCAGCCGCGGUAAAAC